AUUGAACGCUGGCGGCAUGCUUUACACAUGCAAGUCGAACGGCAGCGCGGGCUUCGGCCUGGCGGCGAGUGGCGAACGGGUGAGUAAUGCAUCGGAACGUGCCCAGUAGUGGGGGAUAGCCCGGCGAAAGCCGGAUUAAUACCGCAUACGACCUGAGGGUGAAAGCGGGGGACCGAAAGGCCUCGCGCUAUUGGAGCGUCCGAUGUCGGAUUAGCUAGUUGGUGGGGUAAAGGCUUACCAAGGCGACGAUCCGUAGCUGGUCUGAGAGGACGACCAGCCACACUGGGACUGAGACACGGCCCAGACUCCUACGGGAGGCAGCAGUGGGGAAUUUUGGACAAUGGGGGCAACCCUGAUCCAGCCAUGCCGCGUGCGGGAAGAAGGCCUUCGGGUUGUAAAGCGCUUUUGUUCGGGAAGAAAACCUCUGGGCUAAUACCCCGGGGGGAUGACGGUACCGGAAGAAUAAGCACCGGCUAACUACGUG
rnacentral:rRNA from 1 species